AUCCAGUUGACGAGUCUCAAAUAUGACGUAACGCGCGUCGUGGAU
rfam:Schistosoma curassoni strain Dakar, Senegal genome assembly, scaffold: SCTD_scaffold0000101